AGCCGCACAAAGAAAGGUGCCUCAAUUUUUUUUAUUUUCCCGCUCUUCAUCUGCUUCCCUCACAUUCUCUGUAUCCGGCUAUCUGCGGCACCGCGAAACAAAACUCACUGCACACACGCUCACCCCAUCUAUAUCACGCCUCCGUCCUCUGCCUUGCCGCCGCUGCGCUCUACUCUUCCUCACGAACUGCAAUCCAUUACCGACGGCGUUGCUGACUUGGUGGUGUUGUUCUUGUUGCUAGUGUUGGAUUCCCCCACCGCCGAAGUCUUCCUCGUCCUUGAUGCGUCGCGCUGUUGUUCCCCCGCUUCCGGUGGCGCCGCCUGAGUCUGAACUGCUGCGUCGCUCCUCCUAAUACCUUGUAGUUAGUGUAGUGACUGAGAAAAGGAGAAAAAGAGGCAACACCAACCAUGAUUAUUCCAGUUCGUUGCUUCACGUGCGGUAAGAAUCUUUUCAAUGUUGAAAGUGAUCCAGUCAAGAAAAAAUAUUUCUAAAAGUUGUGGGCAUAAGAUUCAGGGAUUUCAAGGCUAAGUUAGUGAGUGGUUGGAUUACUAAAACGAGACAGAAAGUUUGAAAUCAGUGAAGUGUGCACAACAAACGGGCAAUACGGAGUGCGGCUACUACGUGAUGAAGCUCAUGUAUGAUAUAGUCACAAGAUCUCGAAAAGGUAUUCAAUAAUCCGAGGGAGUGACCUUUCACCUUUGAGGAGAUAGAUGAAGUUCGAGAAAUGUUGGAAAACUUCAUUAGCAGUGAUUGUCUUUGAUAUUUUCUUGUAUUGAAUCUUAAAUUACGGAUGCUAGCCUGGUUUUCAUAUGAUUGUAAUGUAAUCGACUUUUAUAUUUACAAUAAUAUACUAUUUAAUUUAAUUAUCUAUAUAAUUGGAUACUUUUUAUAUGA